rnacentral:tRNA from 1 species
GGGCCAUUAGCUCAGUGGUUAGAGCAGGGGACUCAUAAUCCCUUGGUCCUAAGUUCAAGUCUUAGAUGGCCCA